GAUGAACGCUGGCGGCGUGCCUAAUACAUGCAAGUCGAGCGAACGGACGCGAAGCUUGCUUCUCUGAUGUUAGCGGCGGACGGGUGAGUAACACGUGGAUAACCUACCUAUAUGACUGGGAUAACUUCGGGAAACCGUAGCUAAUACCGUAUAAUAUUUUCAACCGCAUGGUUCAAAAGUGCUAGACGGUCUUGCUGUCACUUAUAGAUGGAUCCGCGCUGCAUUAGCUAGUUGGUAAGGUAACGGCUUACCAAGGCAACGAUGCGUAGCCGACCUGAGAGGGGGAUCGGCCACACUGGAAGGGAGACACGGUCCAGAGGCCUACGGGAGGCAGCAGAAGGGAAUGGUAGGCAAUGGGGGAAAGCAUGACGGAGCAAGGCCGAGUGAGAGAUGAAGGUCUUCGGAGAGUAAAACUCUGUUAUUAGGGAAGAACAUAUGUGUAAGGAACUGUGGAGAUAGUGACGGUACCUAAUGAGAAAGCAACGGCUAACUACGUG
rnacentral:rRNA from 1 species